rnacentral:rRNA from 1 species
GAUGAACGCUGGCGGCGUGCCUAAUACAUGCAAGUUGAGCGAUGAAGAUUGGUGCUUGCCCCAAUUUGAAGAGCAGCGAACGGGUGAGUAACGCGUGGGGAAUCUGCCUUUGAGCGGGGGACAACAUUUGGAAACGAAUGCUAAUACCGCAUAACAACUUUAAACAUAAGUUUUAAGUUUGAAAGAUGCAAUUGCAUCACUCAAAGAUGAUCCCGCGUUGUAUUAGCUAGUUGGUGAGGUAAAGGCUCACCAAGGCGAUGAUACAUAGCCGACCUGAGAGGGUGAUCGGCCACAUUGGGACUGAGACACGGCCCAAACUCCUACGGGAGGCAGCAGUAGGGAAUCUUCGGCAAUGGACGAAAGUCUGACCGAGCAACGCCGCGUGAGUGAAGAAGGUUUUCGGAUCGUAAAACUCUGUUGGUAGAGAAGAACGUUGGUGAGAGUGGAAAGCUCAUCAAGUGACGGUAACUACCCAGAAAGGGACGGCUAACUACGUG